rnacentral:rRNA from 1 species
AAACUAACAAGGAUUCCCCUAGUAACUGCGAGUGAAGAGGGAAAAGCUCAAAUUUAAAAUCUGGCAGUCUCCGAUUGUCCGAGUUGUAAUUUAGAGAAGUGUUACCCGCGUUGGACCGUGUACAAGUCUCCUGGAAUGGAGCGUCAUAGAGGGUGAGAAUCCCGUCUUUGACACGGACUACCAAGGCUUUGUGGUGCGCUCUCGAAGAGUCGUGUUGUUUGGGAAUGCAGCACUAAAUGGGUGGUAAAUUCCAUCUAAAGCUAAAUAUUGGGGAGAGACCGAUAGCGAACAAGUACCGUGAGGGAAAGAUGAAAAGAACUUUGGAAAGAGAGUUAAACAGUACGUGAAAUUGCUGAAAGGGAAACGCUUGAAGUCAGUCGCGUUGGCCGGGGAUCAGCCUUCCUUUUGGUUGGUGUACUUCCUGGUUGACGGGUCAACAUCAGUUUUGACCGGUGGAUAAGAGCUUGAGGAAUGUGGCAUCUUCGGGUGUGUUAUAGCCUCUUGUUGUAUACAUCGGUUGGGACUGAGGAACUCAGCACGCCGCAAGGCCGGGUUUUUAACCACGUUCGUGCUUAGGAUGUUGGCAUAAUGGCUUUAAUCGAC